rnacentral:rRNA from 1 species
GAUGAACGCCGGCGGCGUGCCUAAUACAUGCAAGUCGAGCGAACAGACGAGGAGCUUGCUCCUCUGACGUUAGCGGCGGACGGGUGAGUAACACGUGGAUAACCUACCUAUAAGACUGGGAUAACUUCGGGAAACCGGAGCUAAUACCGGAUAAUAUAUUGAACCGCAUGGUUCAAUAGUGAAAGACGGUUUUGCUGUCACUUAUAGAUGGAUCCGCGCCGCAUUAGCUAGUUGGUAAGGUAACGGCUUACCAAGGCAACGAUGCGUAGCCGACCUGAGAGGGUGAUCGGCCACACUGGAACUGAGACACGGUCCAGACUCCUACGGGAGGCAGCAGUAGGGAAUCUUCCGCAAUGGGCGAAAGCCUGACGGAGCAACGCCGCGUGAGUGACGAAGGUCUUCGGAUCGUAAAACUCUGUUAUUAGGGAAGAACAAAUGUGUAAGUAACUAUGCACGUCUUGACGGUACCUAAUCAGAAAGCCACGGCUAACUACGUG